CACUGAACAUUGAGCCUUGAUGUGUAGGAUAGGUGGGAGGCUUUGAAGUGUGGACGCCAGUCUGCAUGGAGCCGACCUUGAAAUACCACCCUUUAAUGUUUGAUGUUCUAACGUGGACCCGUAAUCCGGGUUGCGGACAGUGUCUGGUGGGUAGUUUGACUGGGGCGGUCUCCUCCUAAAGAGUAACGGAGGAGCACGAAGGUUGGCUAAUCCUGGUCGGACAUCAGGAGGUUAGUGCAAUGGCAUAAGCCAGCUUGACUGCGAGCGUGACGGCGCGAGCAGGUGCGAAAGCAGGUCAUAGUGAUCCGGUGGUUCUGAAUGGAAGGGCCAUCGCUCAACGGAUAAAAGGUACUCCGGGGAUAACAGGCUGAUACCGCCCAAGAGUUCAUAUCGACGGCGGUGUUUGGCACCUCGAUGUCGGCUCAUCACAUCCUGGGGCUGAAGUAGGUCCCAAGGGUAUGGCUGUUCGCCAUUUAAAGUGGUACGCGAGCUGGGUUUAGAACGUCGUGAGACAGUUCGGUCCCUAUCUGCCGUGGGCGCUGGAGAACUGAGGGGGGCUGCUCCUAGUACGAGAGGACCGGAGUGGACGCAUCACUGGUGUUCGGGUUGUCAUGCCAAUGGCACUGCCCGGUAGCUAAAUGCGGAAGAGAUAAGUGCUGAAAGCAUCUAAGCACGAAACUUGCCCCGAGAUGAGUUCUCCCUGAGACUUUAGGUCUCCUGAAGGAACGUUGAAGACGACGACGUUGAUAGGCCGGGUGUGUAAGCGCAGCGAUGCGUUGAGCUAACCGGUACUAAUGAACCGUGAGGCUUAACCUUACAA
rnacentral:rRNA from 1 species